rnacentral:rRNA from 1 species
GAUGAACGCUGGCGGUAUGCUUAACACAUGCAAGUCGAACGGACUCUUCGGAGUUAGUGGCGGACGGGUGAGUAACGCGUGAGAAUCUGGCUUUGGGUUCGGGACAACCACUGGAAACGGUGGCUAAUACCGGAUGUGCCGAGAGGUAAAAGAGAAAUUGCCUGAAGAUGAGCUCGCGUCUGAUUAGCUAGUUGGUGAGGUAAAGGCUCACCAAGGCAGCGAUCAGUAGCUGGUCUGAGAGGAUGACCAGCCACACUGGGACUGGGACACGGCCCAGACGCCUACGGGAGGCAGCAGUGGGGAAUUUUCCGCAAUGGGCGAAAGACUGACGGAGCAAUACCGCGUGAGGGAAGAAGGCUCUUGGGUUGUAAACCUCUUUUCUUAGGGAAGAACAAAAUGACGGUACCUAAGGAAUCAGCAUCGGCUAACUCCGUG